CAUAUCAGUCAUGCAUAGCAUAUCAAUAAGCGGAGGAAAAGAAACUAACAAGGAUUCCCUUAGUAACGGCGAGUGAAGCGGGAAGAGCUCAAAUUUGAAAUCUUCAAGGUUCUACCUUGACGAAUUGUAGUUUAUAGAAGUGUUUUCUGUUAGUAGAGUGGCAAAAGUUCUUUGGAAUAGGACAUCAUAGAGGGUGAGAAUCCCGUAGUUUGGUCAUUCUUUCUAGCUUUGUGAUACACUUUCAACGAGUCGGAUUGUUUGGGAAUGCAGUCCAAAAUAGGUGGUAAAUUUCAUCUAAAGCUAAAUAUUGGCGAGAGACCGAUAGCGAACAAGUACCGUGAGGGAAAGAUGAAAAGAACUUUGAAAAGAGAGUUAAACAGUACGUGAAAUUGUCAAAAGGGAAGCGUUUGACACCAGUGUUGUUUUUCCGAAAAUCAAUUACGAAUGUUUUAUUUUUGAGAAGUUAUGACUUCAUCGGCUUGCUUCUCUCUUUACGAAACUUUCUUAAUGCACUUUUCGGUUAACAAGUCAACAUCAAUUUCUUUUGUUGUAAAAGGGUAUGAGGAAGGUGGCUUUCUUUUCGGAGAAAGUGUUUAUAGCCUUGUAGCCUCUGCAAUCGGAGAGAUUGAGGUCUGCAGCGUAGAUCCUUCGGGGUUAGAUACGUUUGUGCUAAGUUAUAGCUUUUCAUAGACAACUUGUUGACUAUGUUAGUCUUGUAGCUUACUCGCUGAUGCUAUUUUACCUACGCUUAGGAUGUUGAUCUCUCACAGUCGAGC
rnacentral:rRNA from 1 species